rnacentral:rRNA from 1 species
ACUCCUACGGGAGGCAGCAGUAGGGAAUAUUGGUCGAUGGGUGAGAGCCUGAACCAGCCAUGCCGCGUGCAGGAAGACGGCCUUCUGGGUUGUAAACUGCUUUUACCAGGGGAUAAAAGAUCUUGCGAGAUUAAUUGAAGGUACCUGGAGAAUAAGCACCGGCUAACUACGUGCCAGCAGCCGCGGUAAUACGUAGGGUGCAAGCGUUGUCCGGAUUUAUUGGGCGUAAAGAGCUCGUAGGCGGUUUGUCGCGUCUGUCGUGAAAGUCCGGGGCUCAACUCCGGAUCUGCGGUGGGUACGGGCAGACUAGAGUGAUGUAGGGGAGACUGGAAUUCCUGGUGUAGCGGUGGAAUGCGCAGAUAUCAGGAGGAACACCGGUGGCGAAGGCGGCCCCUGGACAAAGACUGACGCUCAGGCACGAAAGCGUGGGGAGCAAACAGGAUUAGAUACCCUGGUAGGCUCU